rnacentral:rRNA from 1 species
GACGAACGCUGGCGGCGUGCUUAACACAUGCAAGUCGAACGAAGAGCGAUGGAAGCUUGCUUCUAUCAAUCUUAGUGGCGAACGGGUGAGUAACGCGUAAUCAACCUGCCCUUCAGAGGGGGACAACAGUUGGAAACGACUGCUAAUACCGCAUACGAUCUAAUCUCGGCAUCGAGGAUAGAUGAAAGGUGGCCUCUACAUGUAAGCUAUCACUGAAGGCGGGGAUUGCGUCUGAUUAGCUAGUUGGAGGGGUAACGGCCCACCAAGGCGAUGAUCGGUAGCCGGUCUGAGAGGAUGAACGGCCACAUUGGGACUGAGACACGGCCCAGACUCCUACGGGAGGCAGCAGUGGGGAAUCUUCCGCAAUGGACGAAAGUCUGACGGAGCAACGCCGCGUGAGUGAUGACGGCCUUCGGGUUGUAAAGCUCUGUUAAUCGGGACGAAAGGCCUUCUUGCGAAUAGUGAGAAGGAUUGACGGUACCGGAAUAGAAAGCCACGGCUAACUACGUG